UACAGAGGUCUCAAGCGUUGUUCGGAUUCAUUGGGCGUAAAGGGUGCGUAGGUGGCGGGGUAAGUCUGGUGUGAAAUCUCGGAGCUCAACUCCGAAACUGCACUGGAUACUGCCUUGCUCGAGUACUGGAGAGGAGAUUGGAAUUUACGGUGUAGCAGUGAAAUGCGUAGAUAUCGUAAGGAAGACCAGUGGCGAAGGCGAAUCUCUGGACAGUUACUGACACUGAGGCGCGAAGGCCAGGGGAGUAAACGGG
rnacentral:rRNA from 1 species